rnacentral:rRNA from 1 species
AAUCAACUAAACACGACCUACAUUGCACUCAUUCCAAAGAAGGACAAUGCCAUUCGGCCAUCUGAUUACCGUUCCAUCAGUCUGACGCAUAGUAUGGCCUAGCUGCUUUGGAAGAUGUUGGCAUCUAGGAUUGCAACUGUGCUACAACAUCUCAUUUCCCACAACCAAAGUGCAUCCCUGAAGAACCAUAUCAUUCAGGACAACUUUCUCUACGUCCAAAACCUGAUCAGAAACCUCCACUAGACUAAAAAGAAGGCCAUUUUCAUCAAGCUUGAUAUUAUGAAAGCGUUUGACUCCGUUCGCUGGAGCUAUCUUCUAGAUGCUCUCGCUCAGCUUGGUUUUGGUCAGAGAUUUAGAGACCUUGUUGCCCUGCCUUUGGCGUCAACUUCACCCCGUGUGCUGCUUAACAGCACCCCUCAUUCUCCUUUCUACCAUAGCGCGGGCUGCGACAAGGCGACCCUAUAUCUCCUUUUCUGUUCAUGUUGGUCACUGAACUACUACAUGAGAUCCUCGUCAAAUCCUCUGAAACCAAUAUUCUCAAACCAAUCGCUCACCCCGAUGAGCUAA